rnacentral:rRNA from 1 species
UCUGGCGGCUUUAGCGCGGUGGUCCCACCUGACCCCAUGCCGAACUCAGAAGUGAAACGCCGUAGCGCCGAUGGUAGUGUGGGGUCUC